rnacentral:rRNA from 1 species
CUUCCGUAGGUGAACCUGCGGAAGGAUCAUUACCGAGUUUUCGAGCUCCGGCUCGACUCUCCCACCCUUUGUGAACGUACCUCUGUUGCUUUGGCGGCUCCGGCCGCCAAAGGACCUUCAAACUCCAGUCAGUAAACGCAGACGUCUGAUAAACAAGUUAAUAAACUAAAACUUUCAACAACGGAUCUCUUGGUUCUGGCAUCGAUGAAGAACGCAGCGAAAUGCGAUAAGUAAUGUGAAUUGCAGAAUUCAGUGAACCAUCGAAUCUUUGAACGCACAUUGCGCCCCUUGGUAUUCCGGGGGGCAUGCCUGUUCGAGCGUCAUUACAACCCUCAAGCUCUGCUUGGAAUUGGGCACCGUCCUCACUGCGGACGCGCCUCAAAGACCUCGGCGGUGGCUGUUCAGCCCUCAAGCGUAGUAGAAUACACCUCGCUUUUGAGCGGUUGGCGUCGCCCGCCGGACGAACCUUCUGAACUUUCUCAAGGUGACCUCGGAUCAGG